CCUACGGGUGGCAGCAGUCGAGAAUCAUUCACAAUGGGGGAAACCCUGAUGGUGCGACGCCGCGUGGGGGAAUGAAGGUCUUCGGAUUGUAAACCCCUGUCAUGUGGGCGCAAAUUAAAAAGAUAUUACCACACGAGGAAGAGACGGCUAACUCUGUGCCAGCAGCCGCGGUAAUACAGAGGUCUCAAGCGUUGUUCGGAAUCACUGGGCGUAAAGCGUGCGUAGGCUGUUUCGUAAGUCGUGUGUGAAAGGCGCGGGCUCAACCCGCGGACGGCACAUGAUACUGCGAGACUAGAGUAAUGGAGGGGGAACCGGAAUUCUCGGUGUAGCAGUGAAAUGCGUAGAUAUCGAGAGGAACACUCGUGGCGAAGGCGGGUUCCUGGACAUUAACUGACGCUGAGGCACGAAGGCCAGGGGAGCGAAAGGGAUUAGAUACCCCAGUAGUC
rnacentral:rRNA from 1 species